UGGCUCUCGCAUCGAUGAAGAACGCAGCGAAAUGCGAUAAGUAAUGUGAAUUGCAGAAUUCAGUGAAUCAUCGAAUUUUUGAACGCACCUUGCGCUCCUUGGUAUUCCGAGGAGCAUGCCUGUUUGAGUGUCAUUAAAUUAUCAACCAACUCUAGUUUGAGUUGGCUUGGAUUUGGGAUUGCAGGCUUAUUUACAAGUCAGCUCUCCUUAAAUAUAUUAGCUGGUGCAUUCUAACCGGUCUAUUAGUGUGAUAAUUAUCUACGCUGUGGACUAUUAGAAAAUUUUGCGCUGCUUAUAAUCGUCCGCGUUUGGACAAAUGUAAUUGACAAUUUGACCUCAAAUCAGGUAGGACUACCCGCUGA
rnacentral:misc_RNA from 1 species